GAUGAACGCUGGCGGCGUGCCUAACACAUGCAAGUCGAACGGAGUUAUUACAAGGAAGUUUUCGGAUGGAAUUGUAAUAACUUAGUGGCGGACGGGUGAGUAACGCGUGGGUAACCUGCCUCAUACAGGGGGAUAACAGCUGGAAACGGCUGCUAACACCGCAUAAGCAUACAGCGUCGCAUGGUGCAGUGUGAAAAUAUUUAUAGGUAUGAGAUGGACCCGCGUCUGAUUAGCUAGUUGGUAGGGUAACGGCCUACCAAGGCGACGAUCAGUAGCCGGCUUGAGAGAGUGACCGGCCACAUUGGGACUGAGACACGGCCCAAACUCCUACGGGAGGCAGCAGUGGGGAAUAUUGCACAAUGGGGGAAACCCUGAUGCAGCGACGCCGCGUGAGUGAAGAAGUAUUUCGGUAUGUAAAGCUCUAUCAGCAGGGAAGAAAAUGACGGUACCUGACUAAGAAGCCCCGGCUAACUCCGUGCCAGCCGCCGCGGUAAAAC
rnacentral:rRNA from 1 species